rnacentral:rRNA from 1 species
UACGUAGGUGGCAAGCGUUGUCCGGAUUUACUGGGCGUAAAGGGAGUGUAGGCGGAUACUUAAGUCAGAUGUGAAAUACCCGGGCUCAACUUGGGUGCUGCAUUUGAAACUGGGUGUCUAGAGUGCAGGAGAGGAAAGUGGAAUUCCUAGUGUAGCGGUGAAAUGCGUAGAGAUUAGGAAGAACACCAGUGGCGAAGGCGACUUUCUGGACUGUAACUGACGCUGAGGCUCGAAAGCGUGGGGAGCAAACAGGAUUAGAUACCCUGGUAGUCCACGCCGUAAACGAUGGGUACUAGGUGUGGGAGGUAUCGACUCAUUCCGUGCCGCCGUAAACACAAUAAGUACCCCGCCUGGGGAGUACGGUCGCAAGAUUAAA